CGGGGUGAGUAAUGUCUGGGAAACUGCCUGAUGGAGGGGGAUAACUGCUGGAAACGGUAGCUAAUACCGCAUAACGUCGCAAGACCAAAGUGGGGGACCUUCGGGCCUCUUGCCAUCGGAUGUGCCCAGAUGGGAUUAGCUAGUAGGUGGGGUAACGGCUCACCUAGGCGACGAUCCCUAGCUGGUCUGAGAGGAUGACCAGCCACACUGGAACUGAGACACGGUCCAG
rnacentral:rRNA from 1 species